rnacentral:misc_RNA from 1 species
AACGCAUCUUGCACUCCAUGGUAUUCCGUGGAGUAUGUCUGUCUGAGUGUCAUGAAACUCUCAAUCCCUCCACCUUCUGUGUUAUCAGAGAUGGCUAGGGUUUGGAUCAUGAGUGUCUGCUGGACUUGUGAAUCAGCUCACUCUAAAUUCAGUGGCAGUCUGCUUCUCUCGCUCCUGCACAUAGCAGAUCUGGUGUGAUAGUAGCUUAUUCACUGGGUCUGUUGUAGGGAUAUUCAGUGGGAUCUCAAGCAUGGCUGUCUUUAUGUUGUGUAUUGUUACCAGCAAGUAUAAGUGUUUGACCUCAGAUCAGGCAGGACUACCCGCUGAACUUAA